rnacentral:rRNA from 1 species
CCAGGCUGAAGACUUUGCCGGAUUAGCUGAGAGGUGGUGCAUGGCCGUCGUCAGUUCGUACUGUGAAGCAUCCUGUUAAGUCAGGCAACGAGCGAGACCCACGCCCACAGUUGCCAGCGUACUCUCCGGAGUGACGGGUACACUGUGGGGACCGCCGCUGCUAAAGCGGAGGAAGGAAUGGGCAACGGUAGGUCAGUAUGCCCCGAAUAUCCCGGGCUACACGCGAGCUACAAUGGUUGGUACAAUGGGUAUCUACCCCGAAAGGGGAUGGAAAUCUCCUAAAGCCAAUCUUAGUCCGGAUUGAGGGCUGCAACUCGCCCUCAUGAAGCUGGAAUCCGUAGUAAUCGCGUUUCAACAGAACGCGGUGAAUACGUCCCUGCUCCUU